AUGGUAAGAGCCAAACAAAACACACAGGCCCAGCCACAGCUGGGGCUGGCAGGAUUGUGCCACCGGAAUAAGAUUCUUUGACUUCAUCCAACCCCAGUCCACUCCCCCAUCACACAGCCUGGGACACGAGAGGAGAGGACGGGAAGCUGAGGGAACAGCAGAUCCCGGUCCCUCCUUUCCUCCUGGUGGGGAUCUGCACCCCAUGUGCAUGAGGGGAAGGUGAUGCUCAGAGCCCCAGUCAUUCAGCCACAAACUCGUGCCAGGCCCGCUCAUCAGGGCUCACUCUGGGAGGGGCCAGGACAGCACUCUGUUCAAGGAGCUCGGGGUGACGACCAGCACCUAAACCUUCUUCCUUUUCUGGCCCAUCACAGCGACACCUGCUGGCUCUGACCAGCUUUGGACCAGCCCAACUGACUGUCACAAGCUGAGGUGGGGGCCAGACCUUGUGACAGUAGAGAAGGGAGGCAGGGCACCCGGUGGGGGAGGGGGAGAGGAGGCAGGGGGUGGUGAAGAGGGGGAGGCCGGCAGGCUGAGCCCGGCCCGACCGCCCCACACCACCCAGGCCCCACUGAGGGAGCCUCAGACAGGACUCCCACCCCACUCAGGACAGGACUGUGCCCAUGGAGGUGGGAGCGUCCGGGGUGCAGGCAGCACCAGCCUGCCUACCAGGUUGUUGGCGUAUGUGACUGUUUGCAAGAUUCACGUGUGCGGAGACCGUCUAUGACUCCAGCAGGGAGGCGGCCUGGGGCCAGAGGCACUGGGCCCUCCCUCACUGGAGCCUGGGCAGCUCCCUGCCCUCUGACGCUGCUCCCUUCCCGGCUGCGGGUCAGGAGGAGAGGCAGCGAGCAACCAAGGUUUGGCCUCACCUUGCAGCCCGCUGAGCCCCGGGCCUGGCCAGCUUUCCCUGAGAUAAAGUGGAGAUAUUUCACGGUCCUCUGUUAUCUGAGCCGGAGAUGCGGCCGAGGCGCCGUCCCCUCGGAGCCCUGCCAGGGCUAUUAUCGCAGACAGAGUGCACAUCACCCCCCAGGAAUUUGGGGCCCUGGGCCUGGCCAAGACGGGGUUGGAGGAAGUUCCAGGCCGAUAAGGCCGAUUCAGAAUGCUCAGAGGGCAGUGGAGUGACUCCCAUCAGCUACAGUCUCACCAGCCCCCCCGGGCACCCUGACGCCAGGGCUGGCGCAGGAACUCACCUGCACCACCUGGCCAGCCCGGAUGGGGCAGGGAAGGCUCGCUGAGCUUCUCGGUCUGCGUCCUCGCUGGGUGGCCUCGGGGAGGUCACUGCGCCUCUCCUGGCAUCUGAGAAUAAAAGUAACAAUAAUAAUACUCACCCCAAACAACAAUACCAAAGAGCUUGGGAGCACAGGCUCUGCAGCCCAGUGGCCUUGGUUUAAAGCCACAUCCGCGCCGUGUGACGUCCAACAGCUGGCUUCAGCCUCCUGGCCUCAGCGGCCUUGUCUGUAAGAGAGUUCCUGCCUCGGAGGUUGUUCUGAAGACGCUGAGAGCAGAGUCUGGCCUGUGAGAAGCUAGCGUAAAUGAAGGUUGUUGUUGCUGUCACUCGCGCAUAGCCUAAACCAACUGGAGCCAGGGACAGUGCCCAAAGCUUCCUGCACCCCUGGGUGCAGACGGCAGGGGCUGCCCGCUCCUGGAGCGUCGGGCCCGGGGCUCCCCACAGGAACUUCCCCCGUGGCUGCCUCUGAGGGCUGAGAUGACAUCGCUUCCUCAAAGAGUGGGCUCUGCAGGGGGCCCACUUCAUCAUCGCUCUGGCCUCCCAGUCAGCAUCUGCCGCAGCCACAGUGUCUGGGGAGCGUGGGGGAGACGUCCGUCCCCGACUGCAAGGGAGGCUAGGACAGCGAUGCCUGGGCCCAGCCAGACUGCUGCGGGGAGAGCUCCGCAUUCCAGGAGGAUGUGCAAAGGUGACCAGCAGCGAUGCUCAGACAGAGGCCCUCCUCGCCAGGGGUGGCUCUACCCGCCGUCCUGCUGCCCAACCAAGUCCCGGGGCAGCACCACCAGGCCCGAGCUGGAGAGCAGGGCGGUCCUUCAGAAUCACCCGGGUGCUCUUCUUGAAAUACCAAUAUCUGCAUUCUACUCCAGAACGAUUAAAUCUGAGUCUCCGGAGGGUGCAGCUAGACACCAAUACAUUUUUUUAUCCCCAGUUGUUUGCAAGGUGCUGCCACGUUUGGAAAACACCGCUUCGAGGGCCUCCCUCUGGCCUCCUUCUUCCAGCUGUGUCCCUCCCCAGGGAGAGACCGGGGAGAUGUGCCACCUGGAGUGGAUGUCCUGCCCAGGGAGGACGCCAGUCCUUGGAGCUCCCUGCUCAAACGGCCUUGAGCCUCGGGGCCUGUGCUGGCUUCUUCCCCUCCUCUCUGCCCCCGGGAGUGGGCCCCACCACCAGCGGACACACCGCAGGCCCGAGGGGUGGCCAAGGGCAGCUGUUGGCAGGUGGUGUGAACAGAGCUCAGACACGCGGACACACAGUCACUCCUUGGAACCCAGCUCAGGCCGGUCUGGUUUGCAACCCACCCGCCUCUGCAGCCUCUUUCGCCCACACACACUCUUGUCCUUCCAGCCCAGCAUCUUGCUCUUCUACCCGAUGAAACGCUGACCAUACGCCAGGAACCCCCCACCUCCCUGCCUUCCCAUCCACCAUGAAUGCUGUUCCACUUGGGGCAGAAACUACUGGUCAUCCCCCAACUCUUCACGGAAGGAACUUUACCAGACCCACAGCUGCCUGGCUCAAGACCACAUCCCCAGCCUCCCUGGCAGCCAAGCAGGACCGUGAGCGUUUGAGGCCAUUGAAUGGGAGCAGAAGGGCUGCGGCCUCUCCCUUCCCUUUCCCCUUCCUGCCUGCUGGAGCGAGGACCUGGCGGUGGACACAGAGCCGGAACAGCCGCCUUGUACACCAGGCUGAAGUCACGCCAGGGUGGAAGGCUGCCCUGCGCAUCGUGGAGCCCCAUAGCUGGCCUGGACCUUCACAUGAAAGAGAGAUGAGCUUCCCACUGUGCUAAGCUGUCACCUUUCAGGUCUCUUCAUCAAUAACAGCCUAACCUUCACUGACUAACAACCACCCUCCCACUUCAGUAGCUGGCUCAGGUGGGUCACUAAGAAGUGCAUGUGCCAGGCUCCCACGGGCGCUCCUGGGUCGGAGCCCUCCAAGGAGGCUCGUGCUGGCUCCAUCUGAGGUGUCUGCCCAUCCAUGUCCUGUGCAGCGGCUACCAGGCCCCCAGACUCCUCUGCAGUGCCCUCUUCUCUCCAUUCUGGGUCCUCGUGAUGGUUCACAAGGAGCUGAUCCUCCCCUCAUGGCUGGGCCCCUGGCCCAGGUGUGGCCCCCUGGAGUGUUCAUCCAGGGAACGGUGUGUGACUCAAUGGAGGGGCCUCUUGAUUUAAGGCAGACGGCCCUCAUGGAGCCAGGGGACAGGGGCGCGCUUCCCACUGCCUUGCUCAGUGUGGGUUUGAGCCUGUGGCACAGAAGCCGCCUUUUAGGGAAACCUGCUGAGAAUGAACCAGCUCAGAGGAGAGCAGGGCUGAGGGGAGAACAGAGAGGGACAGCUUUCUGAUGACAUAACAUUUAAGUACCUGGUUAUAGCUUGGCCUGAAGCCAUCUCACGCCUGGAUUUUUCAGUUGCAAGGGCCAAUAAAUUCCCUUUGGGGCUUCACCAAUUUAAUUGAGGUUUUAUUACUUGCACCCGAGAGUCUUAGCUAAUAGCAUUUGUUUCAUUGAGGCAACGUUGCCUACCAAGUCUGGCCCCUGCACUUCACAGGCUCGCUUUGGACACUGGGGUUAACCCUAGGGAUCCGCCCGGAACCUGCCCAAGGGUCUUAAAUAAAGGGGACAAUGACUGGAAUAAAAUAAGCUCCUCUCUGUUAGUCACACACUGUGUGCCAAGCAUUUUAGUAGCCCUUACACUGAUUAAUUCAUUCGAUGCUCAAAACGAUCCUGGAGGUGCUAUCACCCAUUUGACAGACUAAGAAACUGAGGCCCGGCGCCAUAGCUGGGCCCCAGCCCAGAGCAGGCUAGCGCAGUCUGUAUGCCUUCCCCACCCUUGCAGAGGAGGCAGCGGGGCACACUCUAGGGGGCAGCAGGUUUCCCGGCCCAGGACACGUGAAUGGGGACAGGGUGACCCCUGGACAGAGUGGUUGGGGCUGAAUUACGUGCGACGUGCUGUGUGGGGAGAGGAGGUGGGAGGAAACCACCAGAAUUCGUCUUCCACUCUGGGCUUCUCCACACUUUCCCCAGCCAUCUGCUUAUUCCAGAAAGCCGCCUGACCUCACGCCUGCCGUCUGGGAAUGGGCAGCCCCUGCCCCCACGGCCCGCUCAUUCGUGACUCAUCCCCACCCAGCCCUCCCCCUGGUGUGACAAAGCUCCUGGCGCUUCUGACAACUUCUGGUCACCCUGACCAGACACCGCCCAGCCUUGCUGUUCGGCAGCUCUCCUGGCAGAGGGGGAGGGCAACAGGGUCCAGGGCGCUCAGCUCAGAGGCUGGCACCUCCCCAUUGGGCUGGAAAACUAGGCUGAGGGGUCUCAGAGCCCCUUCUCUACUGGAGCAGCCCAGAGAGGGGAGGGAUUUGCCUAAGGCCACACAGUGAAGCCCUAAGGGCCUGAAAGGGGCCCCCAGAACAGAAAAGGCAGCCCAGAGACAGGAGGCCUAGUCCCAGCAAGGUUCCUGUCCACUCUGGGCCUCAGUUUUCCAUCUGGGAAAUGGGAGAGGCUGACUCUGAUUUUAAUAAAUAAGUUAGGAAAUACGUAUAGUAAAACAUUCAACACCAGCAAAUCUACCUUCCUAAGAAAACCUCUUCCAAUCACUUUUGAUCUAUACAUGGAUAUAUAUAUAUAUAUGUAUGAAUGUAUAUAUGCAUGACUCUAUGUAUGUAUGCCCACAAUCAAAUUCUAAUGAACAUUUUUU
ensembl:lncRNA